GUCACCAUUGAGGGCCUUUUAAACAAGAUUAGUGAUAGGGUUAACUCUACUUUGAACACCCCCCUGAAUAGCCAGAGACAUGAAACUUUGGUUUAGCUUCCUCCUCUUCUUUGUAGGGCUCUCAGGCUCCUAUUCAGAGAUUCAGCUUUUGGAAACAGGUGGCAAUGUUGCGAUACCAAGUGCCUCUCUUCGUCUCUCCUGCCGGGCUUCUGGAUUCACCUUCACUGACUAUGCACUACACUGGGUCCGUCAAGCCCCAGGAAAAGGACUAGAGUGGGAGGCUUUGGUUAGUUACCCAAGUGGAAAGGACCAAAAGUAUAACUCCAAUGUCCAGGGAAGAUUCACCAUUUCCAGGGACAACACCCAAAAUUCAUCCUAUUUGCAAAUGGACAGCUUGAGGACUGAAGAUUCUGGCUUGUAUUAUUGCACAAGGCAUCGAGAUGACACAGUGAGAGGAUUGAUCACUGAGUUAUCUUUUAAACUAACUGGUGACCUUGUGCAAGUCACA